AGUGAACGCUGGCGGUAGGCCUAACACAUGCAAGUCGAACGGCAGCACAGUAAGAGCUUGCUCUUACGGGUGGCGAGUGGCGGACGGGUGAGGAAUACAUCGGAAUCUACCUUUUCGUGGGGGAUAACGUAGGGAAACUUACGCUAAUACCGCAUACGACCUACGGGGGAAAGCAGGGGAUCUUCGGACCUUGCGCGAUUGAAUGAGCCGAUGUCGGAUUAGCUAGUUGGCGGGGUAAAGGCCCACCAAGGCGACGAUCCGUAGCUGGUCUGAGAGGAUGGUCAGCCACACUGGAACUGAGACACGGUCCAGACUCCUACGUGAGGCAGCAGUGGGGAAUAGUGGACAAUGGGGGCAAGCCUGAUCCAGCCAGACCGCGUGGGUGAAGAAGGCCUUCGGGUUGUAAAGCCCUUUUGUUGGGAAAGAAAAGCAGCAGGUUAAUACCCCGCUGUUCUGACGGUACCCAAAGAAUAAGCACCGGCUAACUUCGUG
rnacentral:rRNA from 1 species